rnacentral:rRNA from 1 species
AAAGGAAUAGACGGGUCCCCGCACAAGCGGCGGAGCAUGCGGAUUAAUUCGAUGCAACGCGAAGAACCUUACCAAGGCUUGACAUACACUAGAAACGUGCCAGAGAUGGCCGCUCCCUUCGGGGCUGGUGUACAGGUGGUGCAUGGUUGUCGUCAGCUCGUGUCGUGAGAUGUUGGGUUAAGUCCCGCAACGAGCGCAACCCUCGUCCUAUGUUGCCAGCACGUUAUGGUGGGGACUCAUGGGAGACUGCCGGGGUCAACUCGGAGGAAGGUGAGGAUGACGUCAAAUCAUCAUGCCCCUUAUGUCUUGGGCUUCACGCAUGCUACAAUGGCCGGUACAAACCGCUGCGAUACCGUGAGGUGGAGCGAAUCGGAAAAAGCCGGUCUCAGUUCGGAUUGGGGUCUGCAACUCGACCCCAUGAAGUCGGAGUCGCUAGUAAUCGCAGAUCAGCAACGCUGCGGUGAAUACGUUCCCGGGGAUUGUACACACCGCCCGU